UACGGAGGAUCCAAGCGUUGUCCGGAUUUAUUGGGUUUAAAGGGUGCGUAGGCGGAUCUUUAAGUCAGUUGUGAAAGCCUGCAGCUUAACUGUAGAACAGCCAUUGAAACUGAAGAUCUUGAAUGUGGUUAAAGUAGGCGGAAUGUAUCAUGUAGCGGUGAAAUGCUUAGAUAUGAUACAGAACACCGAUAGCGAAGGCAGCUUGCUGAACCAUUAUUGACGCUGAGGCACGAAAGCGUGGGGAGCGAACAGG
rnacentral:rRNA from 1 species